rnacentral:rRNA from 1 species
AGCCUGCCGUAUGCGUCGGUAUCGGGGCUCGACCUCCCACCCGUGUUGCCCGAACCUAUGUUGCCUCGGCGGGCCCCGCGCCCGCCGACGGCCCCCCUGAACGCUGUCUGAAGUUGCAGUCUGAGACCUAUAACGAAAUUAGUUAAAACUUUCAACAACGGAUCUCUUGGUUCCGGCAUCGAUGAAGAACGCAGCGAAAUGCGAUAACUAAUGUGAAUUGCAGAAUUCAGUGAAUCAUCGAGUCUUUGAACGCACAUUGCGCCCUCUGGUAUUCCGGAGGGCAUGCCUGUCCGAGCGUCAUUGCUGCCCUCAAGCCCGGCUUGUGUGUUGGGCCCCGUCCCCCCCGCCGGGGGGACGGGCCCGAAAGGCAGCGGCGGCACCGCGUCCGGUCCUCGAGCGUAUGGGGCUUCGUCACCCGCUCUAGUAGGCCCGGCCGGCGCCAGCCGACCCCCAACCUUUAAUUAUCUCAGGUUGACCUCGGAUCAGGUAGGGAUACCCGCUGAACUUAAGCAUAUCAAGGAGGCGGAGGAA